UAUCUCUGUAGAGUCUGCAUAUCAAUAAGCGGAGGAAAAGAAACUAACAAGGAUUCCCUUAGUAACGGCGAGUGAAGCGGGAAGAGCUCAAAUUUGAAAUCUUCAAGGUUUUACCUUGACGAAUUGUAGUUUAAAGAAGUGUUUUCUGUUGAAGUUUCGGUAAAAGUUCUUUGGAAUAGGACAUCAUAGAGGGUGAGAAUCCCGUAUUUGACCGUUAUUUUCAGCUGUGUGAUACACGUUCAAAGAGUCGGAUUGUUUGGGAAUGCAGUCCAAAAUGGGUGGUAAAUUUCAUCUAAAGCUAAAUAUUGGCGAGAGACCGAUAGCGAACAAGUACCGUGAGGGAAAGAUGAAAAGAACUUUGAAAAGAGAGUUAAACAGUACGUGAAAUUGUCAAAAGGGAAGCGUUUGACACCAGUGUUGUUUUCUCGAAAAUCAAUUAAAAAUGGCGGGAUUUUGUGUUGUAUUGACUUUAUCAGCUUUCUGCACUUUUUUCUUGUCUUUUUUAAUGCACUUUUCGUUUAACAAGUCAACAUCAAUUUCUUUUGUUGUAAAAGAGUCAUUGGAAGGUGGCUUUCUUUUCGGAGAAAGUGUUUAUAGCCUUUGGCUUCUGCAAUCGGAGAGAUUGAGGUCUGCAGCGUAGAUCCUUCGGGGUUAGAUACAUUUGUGCUAAGUUAUAGCCUUUCAUAGACAACUUGUUGACUAUGAUCAGUCAUGUAGCUUACUCGCUUAUGCUAUUUUACCUACGCUUAGGAUGUUGAUCUCUCACAGUCGAGC
rnacentral:rRNA from 1 species